UCCCCGAAUGCCGAGAGGACUUAUUAUGGACAAUCCUACGAUCUAGGCACCCUCGGCUUCAGAUACUACACGCCAUAUUAUUACGAUACGCCGUAUUAUGGUUAUGGUGGCUACAAUAAUUACUACACUAACGACCGUUACUACAAGGGUCCGUACUAUGGCGACAAGACGCCCUACUAUGGUACCACUACCUACUAUGGUGACAAGACCCAGUAUUAUGGUGACAAGGUACC